UACAGAGACUGCAAGCGUUAUUCGGAUUCACUGGGCGUAAAGGGUGCGCAGGCGGCCGGGUGUGUCAGAUGUGAAAUCCCGAGGCUCAACCUCGGAACUGCGUCUGAAACUACUCGGCUAGAGUACUGGAGAGGGUAACGGAAUUCACGGUGUAGCAGUGAAAUGCGUAGAUAUCGUGAGGAACACCAGAGGCGAAGGCGGUUACCUGGACAGUUACUGACGCUCAGGCACGAAAGCAUGGGGAGCAAACGGG
rnacentral:rRNA from 1 species